rnacentral:rRNA from 1 species
CAACCUACCCUGGUUUAGACUAACCUAGUUUAAAUUAACCUAAAUUUUCAUACACACAAAAAAGUUCCUUCUACGAUUGUGACCUUAUUUUAAAACUCCAGCAGUUACGUUAUCAUGUACGUAUAUACAGGACAGAGACGUUAGUAGUUCCGUUGACUAACUAGUGAGGAAACCUACGGAUCGUACCUACCCACCGACUCGAACACAAAGUAUCGUGAUACGUGUGGUGAGCGGGAGACCACAGAGUUCGAGCGGCCGCCGUUCUCUUUCGGUGUCUUCAUGUUCGACGGGGGACCCGGUACCUGAGAGGGCCAGUAGCCGUCGGAUGUGGUGGAGCGGUCGCCGCAAGGCGUGGCCUUCUAGUGCCUCGACACAGCGGCAAAGCCCGGCGACUACGAGGAGUCCGAUCCCCUCCAGGGGCGGCACCACCAGAGGUCGCGGCUCCGUCGCCGCGACCACUACUUCUGGUUGCUGGGGCACAAGCGCCUGGCCGGCUCGUCGCGGUGCCACCUGUAGCGGCCGACGCCGCCGUCCCCGUAGUAGAAGCGGGGGAUGCCGCUGGUGACCGCGGUCUACGCGUUCCACACGUAGUACCUCGAGGAGCCGAGGUGCGUCCACUUGGCGUACCUCCCGUAGUCCCGGCUCCUCUGCCCGUUGGAGGAGGCGAGGUAGUGGCGGAGGCGGCCGCGGCGGUGGUAGUUGCAGUGUGUCUUCCACUACCGCGAGUCGUUGCUGCAGCACUGCUCUCGCCAUAAGCCGCCGUCCAAGCUCGUCGUCCUACUCAUGGAGCCACUCAACGUGUUCCGCAAACUCGACGACCCACGGAAGACGGAGCAGCUGGAGAAAGGCAGCAGGUCCAACCAGUCCACCGACUGGUUGCUGCUCGCGGCGUACUUUUCUUCGAUGCCGGCGUGGGUCGCAUAGUAGUGGUUUCGGUAGCUCCCUGCGUUCCGGUGGUCUCGACGGCCGCAGCCGCGAAGUCUGUGCAUGCUGCUCCUGGAGGAUCUGCACGACGAGUCCGACGUCGACCUCCUGAGCAAUCUCAAAGGAGAUUGGUGUCUCUGUUAUCCGCGGCAGAACAAACACUCAUAGGGAGAAAAAAAUGGAUUUAACACUCAUAAGGGGAAUUAAAAUUCAUGAUGGAGACUAGGUAUAAUUAACAGCGACUAAAUCAUGGAAAAGGAAGAAAUCAUACUUAGCCUCCCUCUUUAAGAUAAAAUAACCAACUAGACUUUUCAUGGAAAAAGAAGAAAUAUCUUUUUUGGUAUAGUGUAAAAUCAGAUCAAAAGGGUGAACUAACCCGUACGAUACGCACUUAGUGGGCUAGAAACCGUUUCUAGCUGGCCCAACCGUUAGCAAUCUAGACGGUAACGUUGUACCUACUACAACGCUAUGGGCAACCUUGUACCAGCUACAACGCCAGUAAACAACGUUGAACUAGUUACAAUAUCUGAAGUAAACUAGUUACAAUAUCAGAUCAGGGGUACCGUUGUACCAGCUACAACACCACUAGGUAGUGUUGUAUCUACUGCAACGUCUUAGGGUCGUGUUGUUGUACCAGUAACGCUGUUGUGACUGCUGUAACGUCUUCGGGUUGUGUCGGAGUGGUGGCAGCAACCCGGCGAUAACAAUGUUGUGACUACUACAACACGUUUGGGGCCACACCUGCCGAGGAGCGCACGAUCAUCGCCCUCUCCUGGCUCGUACAUCUGGAACCCAUCUACGGUGGUGGUCGGUGUCUUUAGUAACCGGCGGUAGCAUCGUUUGAGGGCGAAGAAAUUUCUUCGUAACGAUAGAAGUGGCGUAGUAGCCUACCGGAGCGACGUGCUGCUUCGAGCGACCGUCGUGACGACCUGCGGCAGUACCAUGGAAGAGGAGUGUAACGGCAGACCCCAACACUGCCUCCCUUCGUUGAACAUCGUCACACUACACGAUCUCCUUCGUUGGGUCUCAUCUGUCCUUCCAUAGUCUUUUACACCACCUUCCUAAGGACCACAACCCCCUACUGCCCUGGUGCUUCAUGGAACCCCUCUCUCUCCCGAGGUAAAAACACCUUUCUUAUACGUAUGCCUCCUCUUGUUACCAUCUCUUCUAUUCCAAUCCACCCCCGCACCAGCCGAACUAACCUUGUAGUCUCUGUGUACUAAAACUAGCUGGGUUACUGCGUUGUUCACCUGCUCCACCGCGGAACUAGUAUUCAACUACAACUAGCAAAAGGAUUUUCAUAAACAAGUAAUUUAGUUACUAGUUUCAAUCUGAGUUUAAUCCUCCACCUAAACGUAUUCGGAUCAGGCAUCCAUCCCGUUUCACCUUUCUCGAUUAGGUUCGGUUGGACACUGUAUGGACAUAGCAGGUGGGGAAGAAGACCGAGUGGCGUUGUUCUCUUUGGUGAUGUGUCACCCGUGGAGCGAGAACAGUACUUAAAAAACAGAGGACGGUAUCGCCGUUACGGUUACUACCGAUCAACCGAAAAGAAAGACAGUACGCUCCCCGAGGAGACCUUCGUUCGGACUGCGGUUGAGCGCCAUCAAGUAAGUUGGAGCCAACCAACCAGUACAAGCUAAUCGUAACUUCCGUAGUAUAUAAGCUAUGUAUUCACGGGUUUGAAAAGGAGUAUUAUUUAUAUUACAGGUUUUGUCCAGUGGAACUUUUUCCAGUGGCUACCCUGGUAAAGUUUCACACUUGUUUUAAUAGUUAAGGAAAGAGAAUACUCGGAUUCUAGUAUACCCAGUUGUUCAUCGUGUUAUUUGAACGUCGAAUGGAGAGGUAUCAACAUCGGAACAUCCAAACAAGGACGAAUCUCAGUUGAACCAAAACGUUUGAACACACACACGCGCGCACACACACGUGAGUAGUGACCUCAAGAAGUAUAAACAUCAUAAAUAGAGGAAACACAGUGGAGUAACCAACCACACCACGUAAAUGUUAACUCAUUAUACCCGGUGAAAGCCGUAAGUACAGGAUGAUAUCAGCUAGUACCUAUCCGCUGUAUACCUUAAAUGUACGGGUCCUUCGCCCGCGUUGUCCGAGCUGUUCACGCCACCGUUACAGUCAAUCAAGUGAAAACCGUCACAAGAAUAUAGUGUACAAGCGUUUGAUAUCACUUUUGGAGUUCUUAUUUGAAGUAACCGAACGGGAUGACCACCAUUAAUAGACGAUAAAAAUAAUAAUAAAUCUCAACUAACCUCGUAAAAAAAAGUCCGCUUUUGUAGAUUCUCCGGUGAAAAUUUUGUAGAUUCCAGAUAUAUGUUAUUACCACCUGUAUACAAAAAAGAAAAAGAAAGAAUAUCCGGUAAAAAUUCCUGGUUAAAACGUCAGAGCUACAACAAACUUUGCAGUGUAUCUCGAACCCCCCAUUCGUUUCUAUAGGAUGUAUUGUGUGGGGUCCUACGUUCAUACAUUCAUUUCAACGCCUUAAUUUGAAAGUUCAUUCAUUUCCUCAUCCUCUUCCUUAUUUUUUGUGUUCUAGAUAGGAUUCCAAGUUCAACAAACACGUUAGAACACAGGAACAACCUCCUCCGAGCUGGUGUUUCCAGGGAUAGGGAAAAACAGGAUCCUGUGGUCCAGGUACGGUUAUUGAACCCCAUCUAGAAGUGUGCCUAAUCCACUAGAGGGCUGAAUUAUUUGAAGAACCUAGGAAGUCUGUAGCUUCCGAAGGUUCGUUGAGAUUAGAUAAUCCUCCGUGAGAGGAGGGUCUCAUUAUUCCUGAAUGUGAUCAUUUAACCCAAAUUGGGAAACGUUUAUAGAAGUUCCUUCGAGAGUUCUUGGGUAGAGGGAGGAAGAGAGAUAGAGAGAUACAGACACAGAGGGUUAUAAAGGAGAGUAGUUGUUUAUCUUGAUUCUAUCUCCUCUUGUGUAGCGUACUCCCGGAGGGUGUUGUACCCCAGAGUUUUGGAAGUUUUCGCAGGUAAAGUAUUCCCCGCCCCAAUAGGAACAUAUCCGUUAUAGGUUUUAGGCUGAUGAGCUGGUUUUUUUACAGAGGUUUCCAAUGUUUGUAGUGUGGUCCUAAAGUACCUAUACAAGUUAUAAAUCUGUUAAUCCGUCCUUUUGAUACGAGGGUUUUCAACUGUUGUUGUGGAUUUCCAUGGCUCGGCGAGUUUUUGUGGAGUCAUUAGUACCGAUGGAGCUUCCAUGAUCUGUACUCGUAAGACUCAGGCUCAAAGACUUGUAAUUGAAGUUCAGAGAUAGGCGUUGUUUCUACGUAACGAGCCUUCAAGAUCUGANNNNNNNNNNNNNNNNNNNNNNNNNNNNNNNNNNNNNNNNNNNNNNNNNNNNNNNNNNNNNNNNNNNNNNNNNNNNNNNNNNNNNNNNNNNNNNNNNNNNNNNNNNNNNNNNNNNNNNNNNNNNNNNNNNNNNNNNNNNNNNNNNNNNNNNNNNNNNNNNNNNNNNNNNNNNNNNNNNNNNNNNNNAGGGGGGUUUUAUUAUUAGCAGCUUGUCUUUUGUAGAUACAUGAUCGAGCUUCCAAGGUGUGGUUGAGGUGAGACCACAAGAUUCGUAUAUAAUGGUCUUGACGUUCUCGUUAUAUGGGAUUCUCCAAGCGUGCAUACACGUAGUAAUAGAGUCUACAUGGUCUUGUGGUAGAUUUUGUUUGUCUUCAGACCAUCGAAGUUCUCAAUAUGUGGGUUGUUAAAACCUGGAAAUCCACAAGAGUGGUUGAGAAUAGAAGAGUGGUUAAAACACCCGUGGUCAACCGAUCAAACAAUCGAGACGUCUACAUAUUUUACACCUCUUGACUCGUUACAAAAUUUAUCGCCCGAUACGAUUUAUCGCCGCCUGGAAGUUUAUUCGAUACUUUGUUAAGGAAGAAAUUGUGAUAGAAUUUAAAGCAAAGCAAUAAACUGUGACCUUUAAAAAAGAAAGGAUAAAUUGUUGCUCAGAUUUAAAACACGGAAAAUACUGUGAAAGCAGGUAAAACUUGCUGUGGACUUUUCUGAGAAAACGGGGAGCACAUCAUACACACACGCCCCAUUAUCGUGUGUGUACGUCGUAGUCGCGCUCCCGUCAUCGUGUGUGCGUCGUCGUAUAUGUGUGCGUCGUUGUGCGUGCGUGUGCGUGUGUGUGUAGUUGUGUGUGCGUGCGUAGUGUGAGUGUACGUCGUCGUGUGUACGUGCGUUGUGUGAGUAUCUGUCGUCGUGUGUGCGUGUGUAGUGUGUGUGCGUUGUCGCGUGUGGGUUGUGGUGUGCGUCGUCAUGUCGGCGUACGUUGUUGUUGUUGUGUGUGUGCGUGUGCAUGUGUACGUCAUCGUUUGUGUGUGUCGUCGUGUGUGCACACGCGUGUGUGUGCGUCGUCAUCGUGUGUGCAAGCACGCGUGUGUGUUUGUGUGUACGUUGUCGUGUGCGCGCGUGUGUUUGUAUGGUGUACUCCCGUUUUGUCAGAAAAGUCCAUAGUAAAUCCGAGUUUUACCUGUUUUCACAAUAUUUUCCAUAUUUUAAAUCUGAGCAGCAAUCUAUCCCUUCUUUAAUAAAUAGCUACAGUUUAUCCCGUAUUUUAAAUUCGUGCCACAAUUUAUUCCUUAAGAGAGUAUUCGAUAUCGCUUCGUUAUCGCCCGAUAAACAUGUACUCUGGUAAAUCGCCGUGGGACGACUUUUCCAAGGCCCAAAAAUUUAUAUACCUUGACUGUCUACAGACUGCGUUUUGAACUUCCCAACCAAGUUAUAAACCUAGUAAGGUUCAAAUUUUCGUCCGCGGGUAAAACUAUCAUACUAAAGGGAAUCCUGAGAUACACUUUUAACUAGGUGAUUUUGGGAUACUCUUAAAUGUUUUGAUUCGAACAUAACAUAAGGGGGUAUAAAUCCCAAUGGUUUCUACGAAGGUUGAUCGGUUCCUUUACUUUUUUUAUUUAGACUUUAUAGAAGAUGAGUUUUUCUUCUUAAUACAAAGACAGAACACGGGAGGAAGCAAGCUGUAAGAAUGCAUACGAAAAAAGGGAGGGUCAAAACUAGGUGGGAGGGUAGAGACAAAACAGGGUGACCAAAAGGGAGUUUUGACGAAGUUGAUGGGGUGAAGAAUAACCAAAUGGUUUAAUUUAAUUAAAAAAGAAGUAACUAUUCUGUUGUUCACUUAAAACAAUCGUAGAUUUCAUUUAAAACGUGUUAGUACAAUUGAGUUAUUUUUAUAAAUACGGGGACAACGUUGCGUGCUCGUUAACGGAUCAUAAACUACUUUAGGGGUUAUAGAAUUAACAGAGAAGUUGUUAGUUGGUUUUUGGUAUAUCCCAUAGAUGUUCGUGAAUAUAACAGUUUACGUCCUCUACUUUGACCUCUGGCAAGGGCACACGACCAUUAAAAAUGCGUACGUAUAAAUAACAGCACAGUCAAAUAGGGAAUAGAUGAAAAUACAUUAAAAUAUGUACGUUGGAAAUCUAGAAACUAUACGAGGAUAAUCACACUAUAAUUCCUGUUCUCUACAUAAAAUAUAGAACUACGUUAUUAUACGAAGGGCCAAGUGUUCUCCUUGCAUACCAUGUUAAUCAUUAUGAUAUUAACAUGAAACAAGGAUUUUGUGCUCACAUGAUUAGUCAUUAGUGGCACAUGACAGAUGUAGUGUGCCUCUGUUCAUGAUGUUUUAGGAAGUACUUGAGGUGAUAGAACUCUUUGAUCCAAGCAAGCGAGGCUACAAAUAUACAUGGAAAACUAAAACUUGUUAAAGGCACAAGUAUAAUAAGAUAUAUAUGCGGAUAUUUACAAGUUAACACUACUUAAAGGUGAUGAAGGCAAAUGUCCUACAUAAACGUCCACGAUGCCUCUGUUAUCCUAGGCAAAACAGUACCCGGUACAGUCUCGAAUACGUGUUAGGACUGUGAUACCGAUUUUGUGUUGCUCUUUAUGCGCUCCACAAUCCGCUUCUGGCUCGACAAUAAUGAUUAUCGCUGGAACGACUUGAGGUGAUAUACGCUUACUAGUAGUUCCUCCAGGAAUCCAACGUAGGCGGACCAGGAGAUCAGGUGGCGUACAGGUCUCUCCUAACAUGUUAAUACCCAAUACUAUAGGGAUUUCCGUGGCUACACAUGUAAUUAUAGAAACGUUAAAGAGCUCUAGGAUCUGUGACCUUGUUUGGACUUCUCAAAUCUGGUCUCUCCAAACUAUUGUUGUUACACUUGAUGUUCCCCCGUAUGAAACUCAAGUAAGGGAAACCCUCACCCUCUUCUGUUACGGGCCCUUAAGUAAAGUCGAGUAGCCAGUGACUCUACCAUAAUUGUUUGAAAGAUAUAGUGAAACUGACCUACGAAGGACUACCUGUAUUGGAACGUAGUGAACUGUACAGACUCUUUAAGCCCGACCGUCAUUGGUUUUCGGUACUGGAAUUUGAAUCUCGAUAAGGUGUGUACAACAGGUUUCGAUACAGUAGCUUCACUACGUAUUUAAUUCGACUAUCCAAUUAAGUACCGUUACCUACAAGUCCAUGGAUGUGAAAGUCGUGAACAGCAUGACACAUACCAACGUGGAAAUACGUUAUCCUAUUCUCUUCAAGUAAUGUCUGCAAUACCAUAACAUAGAUGUUUUAAUAGUAUCACUAACGAACAUGACAACAGGUAUAAUAUAAUAUCACGUACUGUCUUCAAUAAUGUAACAUGAUCUACUAGCAUAUCUCGUACUAACAUAAUCAAGAUAAUAAGAUAUAUCAAAGUACUUGGAGACUUCUUAUAUAACUAAUAAUUUAAUUGAUAAGCUUAAAGAAAACC